rnacentral:misc_RNA from 1 species
GAAAUGCGAUAAGUAAUGUGAGUUGCAGAAUUCAGUGAAUCAUCGAAUCUUUGAACGCACAUUGCGCCCGCCAGCACUCUGGCGGGCAUGCCUGUUCGAGCGUCAUUUCAACCCUCAGAACCCCUUGCGGGAUCUGGCGUUGGGGAUUGGCAUCCAGCCAGCCCCGAAAUCUAGUGGCGGUCCCUCCGCGACCUCCCCUGUGCAGUAGCGAUACCUCGCAGCGGGACAGCGGUCUGACCACGCCGUAAAACCCCCAACUUCUCAAGGUUGACCUCGAAUCAGGUAGGAAUACCCGCUGAACUUAAGC